UCCAUGGUGCUGGCAGGAGGCAGGAGGCAGGGGCUGCGGCCGGGGGGCGGCCGGCGGGCGGAGGGAGCGGCGGCCGAGGCGGCGGCGGCGGCGGCGGCGGCGCUGGCUCUUGUCACCCGGCAGCGGGAGCGCCAGGACCAAGGGUGGGAAUGCAAGAGAAUUUUACACCACGUGGGAAUGGCGGUACAGGACUGCGAUCUGACGUCCUUGAAGGUGCCUCACCAAACUGAUGGUUCCUAGACCUAAAUAAAAAGAGAAUAGAGAAACGGACGACCCAUCCAGCACCGUGGCAAAUGCAGAUGGCCCCAAAAGAGUGGAGAGGAGUAUGAGAAAAGGGAAAUCCAGACUGGACAGGCUUCAGAUACCAUGUUUGCUUCCAUCUCAGUUGGCUUCUCAUCAUGAUCACGAGAUCAAUGCUUCUGUUACAACAGUCACAUGAAAAAAAAUCCAAUGUAAGAAGAGGCACUAUUCUUCUGGUUUUGAUACCCAGGGGACUCCUUAGUAAGCAUUCUGCUGGCUAAAUUUCAGCUCAGAGCCUACCUCCUCGGAAACCCAACCCAUGACAACAACUGAAUAAUACCUUUAAGUGCCGAAAUAAGUAGAACCGUCAACGCAGCAUUCUAUAUGCCGCAAAAUUGUCUUUCAAAAAUGAAGAAAAAUAAAGAUAUUUUCAGGCGGACGAACGCUAAGAAUGUGUAUGUUGUGCUAUAAGAAGGACUGAAGAAAUUCUUCCAGUGGGAGAUGAAUCACACCAGACAAUAACCUGGGCGCAAGGGGAAGAAUGAAAAGCACGGGGAGUAGUAAAUAUUUGGAUGAAUAUAAGGGAAGCUGAUUGGUAGGGUGGAUUACAUUGAUUGAUUCCUGGAUGUCGAAACAUAGCCUUACAUAGCACUUCAUUAAGCCCUCUCUCUAUUUCAUUUGUUGCCCGCACCCCACUAAGGAAACAGUACAAAGAGAAUAGCCGGGAGAGCACAGCGGACAAGAAGCAACCGGGAAGAAGGGAAGGGGGCUGACGGGGUGUAUGGACUGUGCCCUCUGGUGUGAUCUCGGCACGAAUUCGAGACAGAGACAUCCGUGGGCAUUGCCAGCGGGUCUCCCAGCCUGGGCUUCACAGCGCCGUGGGUAUUCGUAGCCCAGUCAGGAUCUCAGCCCUUCCUCCUAAACUUUAGCAUCCUGAAAUUCAGGUUUGCUUGUGUUGCCAGGUUUGGGUCAGGCUCUGCGGUGACUGGCUAACCAUAUUUAUGAAAAUGACUCCUGUAAAAACUGGAAUGCUGGGUUAAUAGUCUCCUAACAAAUGAACCAAAAUACCUGUGCCUACGGAUCAACGCAUUUCUUUCUUCCGCAUACAAGUGUUCGUGGUUUCCUAGAGACUGUUCUUGGAGAUGCAGCUGGGAGGGAACGAGCAGCGUUUGGCAGAUCUCCUGUGACCCCAUUGAGAGCUCUGCAGUGAGAAGGACCCUUUGAGAUACUCUAAAUCGAGGCAACCGAGCUGGGCCUUGGAAUCUCCGUGUCCGUGUCCGUGGGUUGCUCGGUCUUUGGCUUUCUUUGCUAAACAGUUUAGCCACGCCCCUGUAGGACGUGGAUGAUGGCCCGUACUGUGCUGGUGAAUGCUUCAAAAUUGUCUCUCUGGAGGAAAAGAAGUGAGCACAUGUAUUCAUGUAAUUUUUACUGAUCUAGGGGAUGUGGAGGACACAAUUUUAGGUAAUGAUGAGCUAUACAGCACUCUUAUUGUAAAGCCCAUAUAGCCUGUUGAAUCUCACCGAAUGCUUUCAUUGAUUUCUGUAGAACUCUUGUCUCCCCAGCCAGUCUGUGGGUAUAAAGGAUGAGCGAGUCUAGCUCUGACAUGAAUGCUGGUUGAUAUUUUAUUUAUUUAUUUUUAAAUAUUUUAAUGCUU